UUACCCCAGUUGUAAAGGAGAAGUGUCUCACACAGGGCUGGGCAUGAAAUAAAUGUGUUUCAAUCCUUCUUUUUGUGUCCUCUCCAGCACGCACUAGAAUGUUGAAUGUUCAGUGGGUAUCUUGGCCAAACAUACAAGAAAAGUGCAAUCAUAUAACCAAAGUAAUUCAUUUCAAAGUUGCUUCCUUAACUACAGUUGCUCUUUGAGGUCAUGGGAAAUGAAGAAACCUUUCCUCUUUCAUUAGAAUCAUAGCCUUUGCUUAGUAGUUUAGAGAUUUCCUCUAUACAUUACCAGGGAAAGAACUAGAAUUUGGAUAUUUUCAACCAUUCAUCCUAUAUUUUUAUUUCUGAUGUCUCAGACUCAUCUCUCAUGCAGCUCCUAAAGCUUAAUUUUUUUUUUUUUUUUUUUUCAGAACCAAGACUCCAUGCUGCUGUGCAAAUAGCCUGGCAGGAGAGAUCUGGUGUGUGAGGGUCUAAAUCUUCCAGCUGGAGAAUAAGGAGUUGUCCAGCUUCUUUUGGGCCUGCAGAGUGGACUUCUGGGACCAGAUUGAUUUGAUGCUGCAGCUCUGUGAUGCUGCCAAUGACCAGAUUUGUAUAAGAAUGAUGAAGAGAGGGAUCCCUGGGUGGCACAGCGGUUUGGCGCCUGCCUUUGGCCUAGGGCGCGAUCCUGGAGACCCGGGAUCGAGUCCCACGUCGGGCUCCCUGCAUGGAGCCUGCUUCUCCCUCUGCCUAUGUCUCUGCCUCUCUCUCUCUCUCUGUGUGUGCCUAUCAUAAAAAAAAAAAAAAAAAGAAUGAUGAAGAGAGGGUCUGAGUCUGUUAGCCAUACAAUUUUUAAUUGUCCAAGUUCAUUUCUUUAGAAUACUUUCAUAAGAUAUGUGAAUGUAACUGAGUCAAAGUGUUUUGCUUUUUUUUUUAAACCUCAUUACCUUUCUGAUUCACAUAUGACUUAGUGUCAGUGGGAUCAUGUUAUUUUCACUUUCUUCUCUGCCCACUACCUGGACAGUGGGUAAGUUCUAAAUUCCUUCUAAAUUCUAAAUUCCUUCCAUUUACUUACGGCUCAUUCGAAGCAAUUUUGCUCUUGAUUCUAUAGUGUGGGCUUCUUCUGACUCUGAUCUGUUGGGUAGUGGAGCUGAUUUGGACUCUGUUCUAAGACAAUCCCCUAAGAUUUUACCAGUGACUGGAAUUCAGUUCUUCCAACAUGCCUUAUCCUUGACCCUUACCCAUUUGGAGAUUUGAAGCUGGGGCCAGUCCCAUGUGAAUCCUCAGAGUUGUUCCUCAACCAUGUUCUUAUGAGCAAUGCUUUAAUCUAGACUUCUUCCCCACAAAGAGUGAGUGUCCUUCUCUCCUGCCAACGUGAUUUGCCACUUGGAGCCAGUCUUGUUCCUGCUCCUUUAGCAUAGUCACUGAUGGAACUCUUGGUGACAGAUUGAGGUGGACCCAGUUUGAUAUUCUGCUGUGAGCUAGUGCUGCAGAAUACAGAUCCUUCCUCUGAUUCAGGUAUUAGCUUCCUUAAUCCAGAAUCAAGUCAUUGGAUUCUUUCUGUAUUUUUACUGGUGUUGAAACAAACAAAUAAAAAUACCCUCCUCUGGUAUGCAGUUUAAAGGCUUAGAAGUGGUGAGAUAUAUUUGACACUGUGAAAUUCUGAAUUUUAAAGGGAAGUACAACUGAAAAAUUUGCAAAAGUCUAACCUGUUACUAAAAAUAUAUAAUAAAUAUCAGCAACUUUUAGAAACUUGGCAAUUCCCAAUAAAUGACUAUAGCAGAUGGUUUUAUAAUUUGGUUAGUCACUUUUAUUAACGUUCAUAGUUGGCAGCUAAUCUGGUUAUUAAUCUUAACU
rnacentral:lncRNA from 1 species